UGCUGGAUGGCGCAGUGGUUAAUGCUUCUGCCUAGUAAGCAUGAGACCCCGGGUUCGAAACCCGGUCUGGUAC